GAUGAACGCUAGCGACAGGCCUAACACAUGCAAGUCGAGGGGCAGCAUAUUGGUAGCUUGCUACUAAUGAUGGCGACCGGCGCACGGGUGAGUAACGCGUAUGCAACCUGGCUUCCGCUACGGGAUAGCCUUGCGAAAGUAAGAUUAAUACCGUAUGCGAUGCGGGAGGACAUCCUCCUGUAUUGAAAGAUUUAUCGGCGGAAGAUGGGCAUGCGUCUGAUUAGCUUGUUGGCGGGGUAACGGCCCACCAAGGCAUCGAUCAGUAGGGGUUCUGAGAGGAAGGUCCCCCACAUUGGAACUGAGACACGGUCCAAACUCCUACGGGAGGCAGCAGUGAGGAAUAUUGGUCAAUGGACGGAAGUCUGAACCAGCCAAGUCGCGUGAAGGAAGACGGUUCUAUGGAUUGUAAAUUUCUUUUGCUCGAGGGUAAAGUGUGGUACGUGUACCAUAUUGCAAGUAUCGAGUGAAUAAGCAUCGGCUAACUCCGUGCCAGCAGCCGCGGUAAUACGGAGGAUGCGAGCGUUAUCCGGAUUUAUUGGGUUUAAAGGGUGCGUAGGCGGGCUUUUAAGUCAGCGGUGAAAGUUUGCGGCUCAACCGUAAAAUUGCCGUUGAAACUGGAGGUCUUGAGUAUAGACGAGGUAGGCGGAAUGUAACGUGUAGCGGUGAAAUGCUUAGAUAUGUUACAUAACUUCCGAUUGCGAAGGCAGCUUACCAGGCUAUGACUGACGCUGAGGCACGAAAGCGUGGGUAUCAAACAGGAUUAGAUACCCUGGUAGUCCACGCAGUAAACGAUGAAUACUGUCUGUUAACGAUAUAGUGUUAGUGGAUAAGCGAAAGUGUUAAGUAUUCCACCUGGGGAGUACGCCGGCAACGGUGAAACUCAAAGGAAUUGACGGGGGCCCGCACAAGCGGAGGAACAUGUGGUUUAAUUCGAUGAUACGCGAGGAACCUUACCCGGGCUUGAAAGUUAGUGAAUGACCUUGAAAGAGGUCAGGCUCGCAAGAGACACGAAACUAGGUGCUGCAUGGUUGUCGUCAGCUCGUGCCGUGAGGUGUCGGCUUAAGUGCCAUAACGAGCGCAACCCCUGCUGUCAGUUGCCAUCAGGUAAUGCUGGGUACUCUGUCGGGACUGCUACUGUAAGGUAGAGGAGGGUGGGGAUGACGUCAAAUCAGCACGGCCCUUACGUCCGGGGCGACACACGUGUUACAAUGGGUGGUACAGAGGGUAGCUACUGGGCGACCAGAUGCCAAUCUCCUAAAACCAUCCUCAGUUCGGAUCGGAGUCUGCAACUCGACUCCGUGAAGCUGGAUUCGCUAGUAAUCGCGCAUCAGCCAUGGCGCGGUGAAUACGUUCCCGGGCCUUGUACACACCGCCCGUCAAGCCAUGGAAGCUUGGAGUACCUAAAGUCCGUAACCGCAAGGAGCGGCCUAGGGUAAAACAAGUAACUGGGGC
rnacentral:rRNA from 1 species